rnacentral:rRNA from 1 species
ACUCCUACGGGAGGCAGCAGUGGGGAAUUUUGGACAAUGGGCGAAAGCCUGAUCCAGCCAUGCCGCGUGCAGGAUGAAGGCCUUCGGGUUGUAAACUGCUUUUGUACGGAACGAAACGGCCUUUUCUAAUAAAGAGGGCUAAUGACGGUACCGUAAGAAUAAGCACCGGCUAACUACGUGCCAGCAGCCGCGGUAAUACGUAGGGUGCAAGCGUUAAUCGGAAUUACUGGGCGUAAAGCGUGCGCAGGCGGUUAUGUAAGACAGUUGUGAAAUCCCCGGGCUCAACCUGGGAACUGCAUCUGUGACUGCAUAGCUAGAGUACGGUAGAGGGGGAUGGAAUUCCGCGUGUAGCAGUGAAAUGCGUAGAUAUGCGGAGGAACACCGAUGGCGAAGGCAAUCCCCUGGACCUGUACUGACGCUCAUGCACGAAAGCGUGGGGAGCAAACAGGAUUAGAAACCCCUGUAGUCCCAUG